rnacentral:rRNA from 1 species
UACGGAGGAGGCAAGCGUUAUCCGGAAUUAUUGGGCGUAAAGCGUCCGCAGGUGGCACUUCAAGUCUGUCGUCAAAGACUGGGGCUUAACCCUGGAAAGGCGGUGGAAACUGAAGCGCUAGAGUGCGGUAGGGGUAGAGGGAAUUCCCGGUGUGGCGGUGAAAUGCGUAGAGAUCGGGAAGAACAUCGGUGGCGAAAGCGCUCUACUGGACCGCAACUGACACUCAGGGACGAAAGCUAGGGGAGCGAAUGGG